UCGCUGUGAAGAUGCAGUGUACCCGCGGCAAGACGGAAAGACCCCGUGAACCUUUACUAUAGCUUGACACUGAACAUUGAGCCUUGAUGUGUAGGAUAGGUGGGAGGCUUAGAAGUGUGGACGCCAGUCUGCAUGGAGCCGGCCUUGAAAUACCACCCUUUAAUGUUUGAUGUUCUAACGUGGACCCGUAAUCCGGGUUGCGGACAGUGUCUGGUGGGUAGUUUGACUGGGGCGGUCUCCUCCUAAAGAGUAACGGAGGAGCACGAAGGUUGGCUAAUCCUGGUCGGACAUCA
rnacentral:rRNA from 1 species